GCUUGGCUGGCUCAGUUGGAAGAGCAUGUGACUCUUAAUUUCAGGGUUAUGAGUUCAAGCCCCGUGUUGGGUG
rnacentral:tRNA from 1 species